UUUUGAUUAAGAGUUUGAUCCUGGCUCAGGAUGAACGCUGGCGGCGUGCCUAACACAUGCAAGUCGAGCGAUUCAAAUGUUCAACACUGAGUAUUCGGUGGCACUCAUUGAGUAUUGAGUGUUGAACAUUUGAAUAGCGGCGGACGGGUGAGUAACGCGUGGGCAACCUACCCUGUACAGAGGGACAACAACGGGAAACCGUUGCUAAUAC
rnacentral:rRNA from 1 species